rnacentral:rRNA from 1 species
GGCAGAGGGUGCAAACGUUGUUCGGAAUUACUGGGCGUAAAGCGCGUGUAGGCGGCUAAGUAAGUCGGGCGUGAAAUCCCACGGCUCAACCGUGGAAGUGCACUCGAAACUGCAUAGCUAGAGUCCUGGAGAGGAAGGUGGAAUGCUUGGUGUAGAGGUGAAAUUCGUAGAUAUCAAGCGGAACACCGGUGGCGAAGGCGGCCUUCUGGACAGUGACUGACGCUGAGACGCGAAAGCGUGGGGAGCAAACAGG